UACGUAGGGUGCGAGCGUUGUUCGGAUUUACUGGGCGUAAAGGGUGCGUAGGUGGCGAGGUAAGUUCGAUGUGAAAUCUCCGAGCUCAACUCGGAAAUGGCAUUGAAUACUAUCCCGCUUGAGGGUCGGAGGGGAGACUGGAAUUCUCGGUGUAGCAGUGAAAUGCGUAGAUAUCUGGAGGAAUACCGGUGGCGAAGGCGGCAUCCUGGACCGGCAUUGACGCUGAGGAGCGAAAGCCAGGGGAGCAAACGGG
rnacentral:rRNA from 1 species